rnacentral:lncRNA from 1 species
ACAAACAAGGGCAAGGAGAAGGAAGAGGAGGAGGAGGAAGAGAAGGAGGAGGAAGUUGAGGAGGAGGAAGAGCAAGUGAAGGGAGAGGAGGAACAUUUUAAACUGCUUUGAAUGCUACCAGUACAAAUAUGUACCAAUAUUGCUCUAAUAUUUUCCUAGUUAAUUUCUCAAGUUCCACACCUACUCUAUUAACAGAAAACCCAGUUUCUAGGGAGCGCUAGGAGCAGCAUCUAUGCCAGGGAGCUGGCUGUGGUGGAGCUGAUGGGCUGGGCUGGGAUUUGCGCCUUAGCAGCUACUGCUCUUCUGUCUCUUCUGGCACAAGUUGACACAGUCUUUGAACAAGGAAUCCAGUUCUGAACUACUUGAUUACAGAGAUGUUUAUAAAAUAUACAAACAUUUGGCAAAUGAAUCAGCAAAG